rnacentral:rRNA from 1 species
UCCAGACUCCUACGGGAGGCAGCAGUGAGGAAUAUUGGUCAAUGGCCGGAAGGCUGAACCAGCCAAGUCGCGUGAGGGAAUAAGGCCCUAUGGGUCGUAAACCUCUUUUGUCAGGGAGCAAAGGCGUCCACGUGUGGACGAGAGGAGAGUACCUGAAGAAAAAGCAUCGGCUAACUCCGUGCCAGCAGCCGCGGUAAUACGGAGGAUGCGAGCGUUAUCCGGAUUUAUUGGGUUUAAAGGGUGCGUAGGCGGAGUGUCAAGUCAGCGGUAAAAUUUCGGGGCUCAACCCCGUCGUGCCGUUGAAACUGGCAGUCUCGAGUUGGAGAGAAGUAUGCGGAAUGCGCGGUGUAGCGGUGAAAUGCAUAGAUAUCGCGCAGAACUCCGAUUGCGAAGGCAGCACGCCGGCUCCACACUGACGCUGAGGCACGAAAGCGUGGGUAUCGAACAGGAUUAGAUACCCUCGUA